AUCCAUCUGAAGAGUCCCGAAGAGGACGUAACGUGCGUCCUGGAU
rfam:Schistosoma rodhaini strain Burundi genome assembly, scaffold: SROB_scaffold0000178